UAGGAAAUACAUUUAGGAGUAAAAGGCAGCAUGUCUACAAUUUCCAGACCAUUCAGAAAAGUGUUAACACGCACACAAACACACACACAUGGAGAGAGAAAGGAAACAUGGUAACAUAUUAACAUUUGAAGAAUCUGAAUUUACAAUAAUUCUUGUUACUAUUUUUUGCACCUUUAAUGUAGAUCCGAGGUUAUUUCAAAAGUAAAAGUUUUUUCUUUUCUUAAAAAUAAAAAGUCUCCCUAUUUAGACCCUCCAGAGUUACUGUCUUUUUCUUUUUCAAUUUUAUUUUUAAAAUACUCAUUCAUUUAUUUUUAAUCGAGGUAUAAUGACAUAACAUCAUAUUAGCUUCAGGUGUGCAGCAUAACGAUCUUAUCUUGGCACACAUUGUGAAAUGAUCAGCAGUAAGUCUAGUUAACAUCAAUCACAGAGUUAUGAAAUGUUUUUUGCCUUGUGAUGAAAACUUUUAAGAUUUACUCUUAGUAACUUUCAAGUAUGCAAUACAUUAUUGUUAACUAUAGUCAACACACUAUAUGUUACAUCCCCAGGACUUGUAUUUUAUAACUGGUUUAUACUUUUGACCCCCUUCACCCAUUUAGCCCACUCCCCACUCUCUUAUUUAAAAUAAAAGCCUAUAAACAUAGUUUGAAAGACAUGAUUUAAAAGAAACAAGACUACAACUCAGUCAAAUAAGUGUAAAGGGAAAAUAAAAUCCUAAUUGAGUAUAUUUGUAAGUUUCUUUAUUUGCUUCCCCAUAUCAGUCUAAAAAUGAUUUGCAGCCCGGGGCUCCAGCGACCGCCAGGAAUGGCAGAGUUUAGUGACAUUUGGAAGCUUUUCAAACAGUGUUCCAUGCUGUACACUGAAUCAAGUAAAGUUGUAUUCCACAAGUGUUCAGAAAGAAGGACAGGGAUCACAAACUCAGAAAAUGGAAAAAGUACCUUCAUUUGAUGAAGCAGUCAAAGCAGUUCUUAAAAAGAGGGAAUAUGGACCAAAGUAUACUCAGAAUAAUUUCAUCACUGGAGUCAGAGCAAUGAAUGAAUUCUGCCUCAAAUCCAGUGAUCUGGAACAGCUUCGAAAAAUCAGACGACGAAGUCCUCAUGAAGAUACUGAGUCCUUUACUGUAUACUUGAGAUCAGAUGUGGAGGCAAAAUCUUUGGAAGUUUGGGGAAGCCCUGAAGCUCUUGCCAGAGAGAAAAAACUUCGUAAGGAAGCAGAAAUAGAAUAUAGAGAAAGACUAUUUAGAAACCAAAAAAUAGAGACUUUCUGGGAAAUACCAAGCCACGCUCUUGA
rnacentral:lncRNA from 1 species